rnacentral:misc_RNA from 1 species
CUUUAAGCCGUUUUGGUGCCGUGUUCUGCGGCUUCCGCCCCCUGUUUCAUCUAUCUAGGUUAGCUAGUUCAGCUCUUGCACGCAAAAUUGCCUACCAUCAAGCAGGAGUCUAGUCCAACUUAAGACUAUCCUCUGCCCUUCUAGCCCUAUAUGGCCUCAUCGCCCGAUCACCGUAUCCGAGAGGCUGCAGUUAGAAAGCAAAGCAAUGGACCUCCAUUCAAGU